rnacentral:rRNA from 1 species
AGAGUUUGAUCCUGGCUCAGAUUGAACGCUGGCGGCAUGCCUUACACAUGCAAGUCGAACGGCAGCACGGGUGCUUGCACCUGGUGGCGAGUGGCGAACGGGUGAGUAAUACAUCGGAACGUACCUUAUCGUGGGGGAUAACGCAGCGAAAGCUGUGCUAAUACCGCAUACGCCCUGAGGGGGAAAGCGGGGGAUCGAAAGACCUCGCGCGAUUAGAGCGGCCGAUGCCUGAUUAGCUUGUUGGUGGGGUAAAAGCCCACCAAGGCGACGAUCAGUAGCUGGUCUGAGAGGACGAUCAGCCACACUGGGACUGAGACACGGCCCAGACUCCUACGGGAGGCAGCAGUGGGGAAUUUUGGACAAUGGGGGCAACCCUGAUCCAGCAAUGCCGCGUGAGUGAAGAAGGCCUUCGGGUUGUAAAGCUCUUUUGUCAGGGAAGAAACACCGGCUCUAACACAGUCCGGGAAUGACGGUACCUGAAGAAUAAGCACCGGCUAACUACGUGCCAGCAGCCGCGGUAAUACGUAGGGUGCGAGCGUUAAUCGGAAUUACUGGGCGUAAAGCGUGCGCAGGCGGUUAUACAAGACAGGCGUGAAAUCCCCGGGCUUAACCUGGGAAUGGCGCCUGUGACUGUAUGGCUAGAGUGUGUCAGAGGGGGGUAGAAUUCCACGUGUAGCAGUGAAAUGCGUAGAUAUGUGGAGGAAUACCAAUGGCGAAGGCAGCCCCCUGGGAUAACACUGACGCUCAUGCACGAAAGCGUGGGGAGCAAACAGGAUUAGAUACCCUGAUAGUCCACGCCC